rnacentral:rRNA from 1 species
AUGAACGUGGAUGGAGCAGUAGUGAGAUCCCGGCGAGGUGGGGCAGUCGCAGCUCUAUGCCACGACCGGGACGGACACUAUCUAGGGUCAUCGGCGAUGAUUUACUACGGAAUCACUGAUCCUUUAACUUUGGAAACGUAUGCAUGCCGCGAAGCCCUUGCUUUGGCUGACGACCUGGGUGAGCAGAAGGUGUGCGUGGCCUCGGACUGCCAAGAGGCAGUGAACGACAUCAACAGGGGAACUGGAGGCCCUAAUGCCGCUUUGGUGCACGAAAUAACGAAUCACUGUAAUAGUUUUAUUUCUUGCUCUUUUGUUUUCGAGCAUAGGAAGUUUAAUUUUGAAGCUCACAAUCUCGUCAAGUUUGCUUGUAACCUAGAUAUAGGUAGACAUAUUUGGUUGGGCGUCCCCCAUGACCCAAACCUUGUACCUAUGACAAUCGUUUUGAAUGAAUAA